UUUAAACAAGUCUUUCUCCACACUUCUAAACACUUUUCAUGCAUCCUUAGCACUUGUUACCAUUCAAAAGUAUUGUAUUCUAACAUAUUCCAACCCCAAAAAACACUUGAUUAGUCAUUUAGUGGUUCAACGCAAUGUUUUCGAGUUCUUAGCCCAUUUGGGACCCAAUUUUAACAAGUCAUUCUCCACACUUCUAAACACUAUUCAUGCAUCUCUAGCACUUGUAAUUAAUAAAAUUAAUUAUAUUCUAACAUAUUCUAACCCCAAACAACAUUAGAUAAGUCAUUUAGUGGUUCAACGCAAUGUUUCCGAGUUCUUAGCCCAUUUGGGAACCAAUUUCAACAAGUCUUUCU
rnacentral:lncRNA from 1 species